CCAGGUAAGGGAGUGUAUCAAGAUACAUUAUACCACCAGGUAUGGCAGUGUACCGAGAUACAUUAUACCACCAGGUAUGGCAGUGUACCGAGAUACAUUAUACCACCAGGUAUGGCAGUGUACCGAGAUACAUUAUACCACCAGGUAUGGCAGUGUACCGAGAUACAUUAUACCACCAGGUAUGGCAGUGUACAGAGAUACAUUAUACCACCAGGUAAGGCAGUGUACCGAGAUACAUUAUACCACCAGGUAUGGCAGUGUACCGAGAUACAUUAUACCAAUAGGUAUGGCAGUGUACCGAGAUACAUUAUACCACCAGGUAUGGCAGUGUACCGAGAUACAUUAUACCACCAGGUAUGGCAGUGUACAGAGAUACAUUAUACCACCAGGUAUGGCAGUGUACCGAGAUACAUUAUAC